rnacentral:RNase_P_RNA from 1 species
GUGAUGAACCAGGCUGCCGCGCCGUUUCGGCGGAAAGGCUUGAAGCGGUGAGGAAAGUCCGGGCUCCGCAGGGUAUGAUGCCGGGUAACACCCGGGCGGUCCUUUUCCAUGAAAAGUACCGACAGAAAGCGCAACAGAAAGUAAACCGCCGUAAACUUGUUUACGGUAAGGGUGAAAAGGCGGGGUAAGAGCCCGCCGCGGAAACGGCAACGUUUCCGGCGAAAAAUAACGGCCCCCAGGCCGCUAUUCGGCAAGCCUCAUCAGGAGCAAAGUCAAGCGGCGGUUGUACUGAUUCCGGGGCUUAUUCCCGGGAAUCGGUCGGGGAAUGCCCGUUCCCAUACCGCAGGUAGACUGCAAAGAGGCCGGCCUCAAGGCCGGCCCAAGAUAGAUGGCAGCGGACACGGUCCUCUACGGGGACACGGUAACAGAACCCGGCUUAUGGUUCAUCACUUUU